rnacentral:rRNA from 1 species
ACGGAGGGUGCGAGCGUUAAUCGGAAUUACUGGGCGUAAAGCGCAUGCAGGUGGUUCGUUAAGUCAGAUGUGAAAGCCCGGGGCUCAACCUCGGAACUGCAUUUGAAACUGGCGGACUAGAGUACUGUAGAGGGGGGUAGAAUUUCAGGUGUAGCGGUGAAAUGCGUAGAGAUCUGAAGGAAUACCGGUGGCGAAGGCGGCCCCCUGGACAGAUACUGACACUCAGAUGCGAAAGCGUGGGGAGCAAACAGG